rnacentral:hammerhead_ribozyme from 1 species
AUCUGACUGACAAGUCCAAAAUACAACGAAACACGUGUCCUAGAU